GAUGAACGCUAGCGGCAGGCCUAAUGCAUGCAAGUCGAACGGUAACAUGAGUAGCAAUACUUGAUGACGAGUGGCGCACGGGUGCGUAACGCGUAUGCAAUCUACCUUUAACCGGUGAAUAGCCCGAAGAAAUUCGGAUUAAUACACCAUAGUAUGUUUGAGUGGCAUCACUUAAACAUUAAAGUUCCGACGGUUAAAGAUGAGCAUGCGUGACAUUAGCUAGUUGGUAAGGUAACGGCUUACCAAGGCAACGAUGUCUAGGGGAUCUGAGAGGAUUAACCCCCACACUGGUACUGAGACAGGGACCAGACUCCUACGGGAGGCAGCAGUAAGGAAUAUUGGACAAUGGUGGCAACACUGAUCCAGCCAUGCCGCGUGAAGGAUGAAGGCCCUAUGGGUUGUAAACUUCUUUUGUACGGGAAAAAACCUUCUUACGUGUAAGAAGCUGAUUGUACUGUAAGAAUAAGGAUCGGCUAACUCCGUGCCAGCCGCCGCGGUAA
rnacentral:rRNA from 1 species